rfam:Exophiala spinifera strain CBS 89968 unplaced genomic scaffold supercont1.6, whole genome shotgun sequence.
GCAAUCGACCACAGGUUGUGUUAAAGCAGGGCUUCCCGUCCGCUCAGCCAUACUUAAGCCACAAGCCGAUUAGUUAGUAGUUGCGUCGGUGACGAGCAGCGAAUCCUAAUUGUUGAUUGUU